ensembl:lncRNA
GGAGGAAAACAUCCAGCUAUAAAACUGCAUUGUAUUCAGAAGUUUUCUAUCUACUAUACUUUUUACAGCCGCCAAUGAACGCAUCAUAAAACCUGAAAUGACCCUUCCAGCGGCAUUAUUUCUUUAUGUCAGCUGUCUUUGCUGUUGCACAAAAACGCUUUAAAAAGGAGACACGGGUUGCAGCCAAUGCGUUGGCGUUUAAAUGAGUAAAGCGUGGACGCCAUCCACAAAACACGUAGCUGUGAGCUGCAGGAUUAAUGGCUGUUAUCAACGCAACGAGACAAAACAAAUGAGCUGUCAGCAAAGUGUCCCCACGCUGUCCAGGAGAUGUUUUGACCCUGGAAAACAGAAGCUCGGCUGAAGCUGUAAAGUCUGCACAGUUCACUUCAUCGUGGGCUUGUGAAGCACAGAAGAACAGCAACAAAAAAGCCCCAGACGUUGGUGAAUAGAAGCCUGUGUGCCACUAAAUGCACUUAAUGUUGCAUAAACAGGUGAGCGUAAAGGAGCCUGCUGGUUCCCGUAGAACAGCUGCUUUGCUUGUUAUUACUUGUUUUCCUCCCAAUGCAUAUAGAGAAUACCUGAACAGCACAUGGCGUAAUAAUCCUUUCGUCUUUGCCUUAAUAACGCUAGUUGUUAGGAGACAGGGGGGGGGGGGGGGGGCGCUGCCAUGACAACACAUUAAAGGGUUAAAGGGUUACUGUUGGACAUCAUGUUAAAAUAUAACGUUACAAUUCCAACGACCCAAACAGAACAAAACAAGCUCAACAACAAGCCCUGCUUUUUGUUUGUUUGUUGUUGUUGUUGUUGUUGUUUACGGUAAGAAGUAAAAUGCGUGGAUACUCCACCGACUCACUGGCAUGUUGAUCCGCAGACUUCGUCUUCGCUUCGGCCUGUUCUUUGAGGGGUCCUUGCUGGACUCCAUCACCGUGCUUCCCAUUUUUUUUUUAAAGCGACCCCCCCCGCCUCACACUCUUCCUCUUCCUCUUCCUCCCCCCAGCAACAAAAGUGUGGUAAUUAACUACUGCGCCGCGCCCGCUGACCACCAACAGCCGCCUCCACCUUCGCUCUGGCCGCCCCCGUGUGUUUACUACGAGGGCGCCGCCUCCUCCUCCACCCGGAAGUGGGCACGGCUCGCGUCUUCCAGUGACUUUCUCGCGCGCUGUCGACGCCGCCUUGUUUACGCGGUGUUACGUCGCAGUCCGUCGCCCCGCAACAAAUGCGCGUCCCGCAGAACGCGGAGUCCGGAAGACACGUUUUUGAAAGGGAAGCCGGUUUCGGCGCUACACCGGACAUAA